UGAGGAAUAUUGGUCAAUGGGCGAGAGCCUGAACCAGCCAAGUAGCGUGCAGGAUGACGGCCCUAUGGGUUGUAAACUGCUUUUAUGUGGGGAUAAAGUGCGUGACGUGUCAUGCAUUGCAGGUACCACAUGAAUAAGGACCGGCUAAUUCCGUGCCAGCAGCCGCGGUAAUACGGAAGGUCCGGGCGUUAUCCGGAUUUAUUGGGUUUAAAGGGAGCGUAGGCUGUCUAUUAAGCGUGUUGUGAAAUUUACCGGCUCAACCGGUGGCUUGCAGCGCGAACUGGUCGACUUGAGUAUGCAGGAAGUAGGCGGAAUUCAUUGUGUCGCGGUGAAAUGCUUAGAUAUCAUGACGAACUCCGAUUGCGCAGGCAGCUUACUGUAGCAUAACUGACGCUGAUGCUCGAAAGUGCGGGUAUCAAACAGG
rnacentral:rRNA from 1 species